GGCUGGUCUGAUGGUAGUGGGUUAUCAGAACUUAUUAACAUUAGUGUCACUAAAGUUGGUAUUCGACCCCCACUGCUAAAUUUGACUCACUUUAA
rnacentral:Y_RNA from 1 species